AUUGUUCACAAUGGGCGCAAGCCUGAUGACGCAACGCCGCGUGGAGGAUGAAGGUCUUCGGAUUGUAUACUCCUGUUGCUCGGGACGAAAAGCUUCGACCUAAUACGUCGAGGUCUGACGGUACCGAGUGAGGAAGCCCCGGCUAACUCCGUGCCAGCAGCCGCGGUAAUACAGAGGGCGCGAGCGUUGUCCGGAAUCACUGGGCGUAAAGGGGGCGUAGGUGGCGGCAUAAGGCCGCGGUGAAAGUUCGGGGCUCAACCCUGAAUCGGCCGCGGCGACUGUGUCGCUUGGGCACUGUAGAGGCAGAUGGAAUUCCGGGUGUAGCGGUGGAAUGCGUAGAGAUCCGGAAGAACACCGGUGGCGAAGGCGGCCUGCUGGGCAGUUUAGCUGACACUGAGGCGCGACAGCGUGGGGAGCAAAC
rnacentral:rRNA from 1 species